GUCAGAGACCGUUAGUGCGCUGCGUCGCCCCUGUAAUCGCCGACGGUGGCGAGCGCGACGUCUUAAUCCACCCCCUCGCGCUUCCCGAGCAACUCGGAAGUCGCGUCAUUCCCUCGUUCACCGGCGGUCAAGUUAACAAUUAAUGCGGUUAUCAGCGUCGCUCGAGACGCGUGACAGUAAAUGAAAAAAGGAUUUUAUUUCUAUUUGAAUAAUACUCUUUUGAAAUCUACUUUUGCGAGUUCCGUUUUAAUUGAAUUGCUAAUGUAAAACGAAAUUUUAAUUGCAUUGCUUUGCUUCAGUCGAACUGGCGAACGAGUCGUAAUUGCGGGGGUGGAUUAAAACCGCGGAAUUUCAGGCUUCCCGGAACGCCUUUUCACAAAUCAUGAAAGCAGUUUACGUUACAAUACUUAGGACACGUGUCGGAACCACUGUUGUUGCACGAAUUUCAAUGUUUCCUGGAUAAUUGACGCUUAAUUCGCUGUGGUUCAGACGAUCGUAAAAUAUUGUCAAUUAUAAUUAGGUACGCGUAAUUAUGUGCUGCGCAGAGAAACGAUUCAGUCGAGCAAGUUGAUUUGUCGAUAAUUCUAUUAAUUCCAUGUUGAUAUUGUUUUGCUCUGAAGCGUUUGUCUGCGCAAUAAAACGACGUUUUACAACGUACGAGUAUCUUAUCUUACUAAUAUUAUUCAAGAGCGGAUAAUGGCAUUUUCGGUGUCAGUUAGCGAGUUUUUCUUUCUAUUGUAUGGCGAAAAUAUAUUUUUUGCUGCUGCUAUUAUUAACAAUAACGUAAGUUGCUACAUACCCCUUUCGAAAAUCUCCCGACAACCUAUUUCGCUGUGUAAAAAUGGAGAUAAAGAAUAAUGAAGUUAUUAUAUACGUUGUAGCAAAGUAUUUGCAAACGAGUUAUUAUCUAAUUUUUAUUAUUGCCUGCAAAUUACCUUUUGAUGCAUUCACAUGAAUUAAAUUUAUAAAUGGGAACGAAAUGAUAAUUUGAUUUGAGUCUGAAUUUUGUCUCUCAUUUGAUGGCCGAUAAUGAUAAACCACUCGAUAUUAUUGGAAGCUCGACAAGUGAAUAUAAAAAUGAUAAUUAAUGCGCGUGUGUAUGCGCGCGCGUCGCAAAUCGAAUAUUGCGCAGUCAUGUGCCCUCGAAGUGCCGUCCGAAACAUGUGAUUCAAUGUGAUGUCGGUCCCAAUAAAUGUAAUUAUUAACGGAUCGCGCAAUAGUAACGUCAUUAUCAAAAUUACCUGAAUUACGCGAGCUGGGCAAUCGGAAAACGUUCGCAGGUGGUUCGCAUUUAUUCGCUGUAAUACCGCGUAAGGCAAUGCGAAUUUAACGAGAAAGAAAUCGCGCAAUAACGAAAUCCGAUUAAUUCGACGUAAACUGUACGUAUUUUAUUUGCAUUGUUCGCGAAUCGCGGUAUCAGUAUCCUGAGAGGCGAGUCCCGAUGUUAUAAAGGCGACGAGUCACGUAACAAACACAAAGAGAAUCGAUUCCGUCGUGACGAGGAUGACAAUUUUAUGCAAAGCUUGCGGAGACCGAGUCGUUAAGGUGAACGCACCGGGCAGAUUUAUUGCGUUCUCGAAAGUUUCGAACUUUUCUGAAGCUUCGUUAAACGCGUCCGUGAGAGAAAAAAAAUGAAAAGGAAGACAGAGACCACUACAGAUGACACGAGAUUUAAUUACGAUUCGCGAGCCGGCGAAUCGCUCGGUGCGAUAAAUCGGAAACGGAUUAAUCUUGUCGCGGGAUUCGUAUAGAUCUCGCGCAAAGCCGCUUCGUUAGGACUUGAUGCUUGCCAGGAUACGGAUUUAUUACAAUCCCCUGCAUUCGCGUCUAAUUGUUAAUUGGAUAACCGGUCUGCUUAGCCCUUUCGAUGCGCACGAGACCUAUCCUUUCCACAGCAAUUUCCAAUUGUCACAUUGUGCCGUUUGCUUUUGAUCCUUUCUUUCGUUUUAGUGUAAUUAAUAUUGACCUGACCGGAUAAUUUGUGCCGAUUGUUUUAGCAAAAUUCAAACGCGGUGCCCGAUUAAAUAAUUGGCACACGUUAAAAAUCGUAGUAUGCCGUGUCUGGCAUUUUGCGACCAUUCGACCGGAAAUUGCCUAAUCACGAAUGACUGAGCUUUUCAAUUUAUCAUUUCAAACGAAUAUAUAGCAAUCUGCAAUUUAUGUGAUAAAAAUAUUGUAGGUAAUCCAAAUCGUAUUUUUGCUUUCUAAAUAUCAUUUUACGCAACAUUUUUGAUAUGUUGUAUGUUGAUUAAGAAAGAGCAAAAAUUCACGAUAUUUAGUAGAGCUUUUAACAGGAUCCAAAACGAAAAACUGAAAAAUGAAUUGCUGCAAAUUCUCGCGUUGUUGAUAAAGCGUAAUUUAACGGUAUUGUUAAUUAGCAUCUAUUUUUCAUGUUAGUAUAUUUACUAAACGCAGCCCGUGUUUAGACCGGGGAGCACGAACGAAAUAUUAAUUAUGAUAUUUACUCACUGAUUUAUUGGCAAUCAACGCGGCACCAUUCGUGGGUAAUUGUAUAUUUGAUUUCCGAUAUAAUUUUAUACACAAGUGCGCAUUUGCGACGCGCGCGCGUACGUAUGUGUAUACGCAAUCCCUUUUUUUCUCAGUCAAACACAAAUGUCAAACCACAAUCUAACAAUCGCGUACCAUUGACUCGUAUUGACUCGCGAAAUGCGCUAUUACUCUCCCCCGGGUGUGGUUCACCAGAAGAUAUUAAAGUAUUUAAAGUGUAAAUGGUACCGCUUGCGCAAAAUGCGUGCCAAUCGAAAUGCGAGUCGGUCUUUUAUUCCGUGGCACUAAAAAAAAAAAACCGCGAUGUGGCAAAAACCAUUUGCACAAUGUCAAUGCGCGUAGUCGCAGGCGCAAAUAAAAAUCACGUGGGGCGUCCAUUUCGAUUAUUCGUUUGCAGAAUUGACGCGAAUCGUGUAAUAUAUAUUACAUGUACAGUAUAAUAAUAAAAUUCCAGAUCCUUUCAAGGGAAAGAAGAGUCGAGUGAAUUCUCGAGGAGGCUUUCCCACAUUAUUAUGUCUCGAGAGAGGCACACAGGAGGACGGCACAUUGCGUUUAAUAUAAUUAGGACGAUGAAGGGCGGACUGACUGAUGCGCAAAGGGCCAAACCUAUCGGCGGAAAGAAGGGACGUCAGAGGAAACGCGAAUCAAAGAUUAAAGCCGGGACUACGCAAUUUCUCAAUCCAAACGCGUUAAUUGCUCAAAGCUAAUUACUCACAAAAACCGUCAGGACGAUUUCGUUGGUCCGACCGUCGGUGCGCGUGAUCGUCGAUGUUUGUCGACUGCUCGGCUUGAAAAAUUAAGAUUUGCAAGAGCGCGUAAAAUAGAGCGACGAAAUGACGAACAAUUUCAGCCGCGUGAAUAAUAAAUUUCACUAUAACGCAUAUUAACGCGCAGCAGCCCGCGUUUUCUGCCUUGACCCCGCGCGAAUCCUCACGAGGGAACGCGCAUGUAUUAUAGCAGAAAAAUGUGCAAAACUCCGGGCAAAACCGAAACGAACUUUUCACGGGUUCGCGCGUUAACUAAUUACCCGGUCUCCUUUUCUCCCCCUCCCCCCCUCCGCUUCGUUAAUUAAUUCCGCCCACGGGAGUAUGACAGAGUCGGAUAACUUGAAAAUUGAAUGAAUAAAAAGGAUAAAUUUUCCGAGUAUCGCCGAGUGAAGAACUGCUCGUUUAAUUAAACGAAGGCAAGGCAGGGAUCUUCUUCGUAGAGGUCGCACUUAUUCGGAUUUUCUAAAUUGAGAGUUCAGUCGAGCGGAGAAUAUUAUUAAUAUUAUAUUGCCGAUGAUUAUCGGUGCGCGGUAACAAAUUAUAUUAUAUUUUCGGACAACAAUAACAAUCGCUUUUAGCGGAGAUAUAAUUAGACAAUCAGAUUAACGAAAAUCAAAAGACUGAAUUACUCGCUCGGCAUGAAUUGUAUAUUUUCCAAUUUCACACGAUAAUAUUAAAUGGGAUAAUAAAUUUCGUCCAUUCCGUAAAUACGCGUUGAUCAAUUAUUAACGCGGUAGCUUCUCGUCGCGCGACAUUCUCAACGCGAUUACGCUAUUCCGGUAACGAGAAUAUUGGAGAGAACGGAACUUUUAUCGCGUUACAUCGCGAAACUUCGUUAUUGCGCAUCUGGGCCACUGCGAAAUUAUUUCUGAUACAGGCGACGGCGCUGCUGCUACGCUCGCUUUCGUAUGAAGCGUAAAUGAAAUUUGCUCUUUAUAAUGCAUCUUUCAUUGUGCACUACUCCGUCAAAAUUCGUCCUGAAAGCCGUAGCCCUUCCGACGUAUCCGACGCCGGAUGCGCGUCACCACAUUCCCGAAACACCGGACGAUGCAUCUAGUUGCCGGGCAUUCGACGAAUUCACACGUACGGUAUUUGCGCGUGGAAUUUUACCGUGACAUAUAUAUAGCGUACGUACGAUAUCCUUAGCUUAAAAAGCCGAUGCUAAAAAUAUAAUGUAAAGAAAACGCUUUCGAUUUUCGAAAAGCUUCAUCUUUGCCUUAAGCAUCGAGAGCGUUUGACCUCGUUGCGUCGCUUUCGAAAAUGUCUACGGCAAUGUUCAAAAAUUCCGAAUUCAUUUUCCGAUUUUCCGCGUAAUCUACGGAUCCCGAUCAACAGUGGACGUUGCUUUGCAUCGUUUAACGAGCGUCUCGAUUUCCCACGGCCGACAGAAACCAGACGCAUCGUCCGGGACCUGCGCGAGAAAAGCGAUCCGGAGCGGAGAUUCGCGAGGAUCAACGGGCCGGCGGUUCCGCGCACGCCGCCAGGAAUUGUCGGCGCAGUGCUGUGAGUAAUUAAUAUGAUUGAAUCUUCGGUCGGUUCCCAACGGGGUGCGGAAGGGUGGAUAGAUUCGGGAGAAGGGGGACGGGGCUCGUGCAGCUUUGAGGCUUUCGUUUCGCGGCCGAUGACGCGCGCGCCGAGCAGGAGAGGGUGACGAGAGAAGCGCGCGACGAGAGGCCGACGCGGAGUGUGGCGCGGCGGAGGUUGCUGGCAGGGUUGCUACGAGCGAUCAAUAAAUGCCGCUGCCAGCAUCCACCCCUGGACCCACGUCUCUCCCACGUGUCGUCUCUGUCUCUCUCCCUCUUUCUCUCUGUCUCCUCCCGUUCCCUCUCGUCCCGACGCGCUUCCUCUCGUUCUGUCUCUUUCCCUUUCUCGCCGUCCCACCCUCCUCCGUUCUCAUCCCUUGCACACUUUUGCGCAGCGCGCCUCGAGGCUCUUUCCCUCGCUCAUGGCUACAACCAGCCAGUCGAUACACCGAGAAAGCGAGAAAGAGAAAGAGAGUGAGUGAGAGGGAAAAAGAGAGCCCGAGUUUACCCCGUGUAUUCCCGAGCAAAGUUGUGCAAUCGCAUCGCGAGAGAGAGCCACCCUAUGGAACAGGGCGGCUCAGGAAUGACGGUCCCGAUGGCCGGAAACGUCCGUUGUUACCCCCGCGAUUUGGGAAACGAACGAGUGCCGCCGAGAGGUAGAGCCGCGCGCGAUGCUCGAUUGAUUUUCUCGCUAAGAGGCGACGAGAGGGACCUCAUUUUUGCGCCGGCACGCCAGAGACAUUGAAGGGUUCGCCUGCGAGAACGAGGGCGAGCCCGUCACUCGCGACAACCCCCGUGCGACCUUGCGACACUCCGAUCGAGAUCGAAGCGUCUCGAUGAGCCGCGCAAAUUGCCGAUUUGCCACGUUCUCGGCGGAAUCGCGCGCUGCAAAAGGGAAAGCAAAAGAGAGAGGGAGGGAGGGGGACACAGAGAACGAGACGGAAGAGGAAAGGUGAGAUCUCGGUACGAUCUUAAUCGCGAACGGUGCAUAAAUUAGGUGAACAAAUGGAAUUAAUGAAUUUUGGGAAUGGGAUUAAGCGAGGCCUCGGCGCGUCGGAUUAUUCGACGUCGCCGAACGUGACAGCUCGCUCUCGCACGCGAGCGAUGUUCACGCGCCUUCCCUCUACGUUCGAGUCGUAAAUCACGAGUACUUACGGCGUAAUUAAGCCGUAUUAACUUUACAAAGUAGGCGACGCGGAAAUCAAGAUCGAAGAUCGUUUCGCGAAGAGUAACGUUCGAAUUGUCUGAGCGCGAUGAUUCGCCCACGCAUUUAAUUCGAGAAACUGCGUGGCGCCCUUCGAUAUCGAUCACCCUCGAAACCACGUACCAUCUCCGAACGAAAGAGAAAACGUUUCCUCUCCCAUUCACAAGAGUAACGGCUGUAAAACUGAAAAGAAAAAAGAAAAAAACAUUGUUGCUGCGAUGGAUGCGAAAUUCGCUCGCGAUAUUUGUCGAUAUCGCGAGUACGCGAGAAUACGAGACAUUGAAACAUUAAAUUUAAGCCGCAUCAAUUCGAGCGCUCGCUCGAUUUUCACGAAGUUUUAAUAACCAACGGCGAGUUUCAGCGGGCGCUGCUGCAGGAACUCGCGAUUAAAUCAGCGAUUCGACACGCGUCCCCGGGUACACACGGUAACGAUUACGUCGUUACAAACGUUACACGCAACAACGAAUUUUCCCUCGUGUAAUAAACAACAUUUUAUCCGCGCGCGCGCGCGCGCGGGCUUGAAGGCGAGAAAUAUCGUCGGCGUAAACGACCCGCGCUCGCGAAGUUUAUUAAACUUGGAAAGAAGAAUAGCGGCGGAAAUUAAAGCGCGCACCGUGUUAAACGUUUCGUAAAUAACUCUGCCAAUAAGUUACUACAAAUUCCGGAAAUGCGGGGACAGGAACCAGGGAAGGAUCAGGGAAGACUCUGGCAGAACUGAGAAUUUUACCGUUCCUCUCAAUGCGGGAACGUCGAUGUCGGGGUGGAGAACGCAGAGGGGAGGGCAGAUGCAACAUUGACAGGGGGGUAGAAGACAGGAGACAGGAGACAGGAGAAGGGAAAGGGGCGGAGGGAAGGUAGAGAAUAAUGCGGAGACGAGGUGAAUAAUAGAGAAUGAAAGAAACAGAAGUGAGAAACAUACACGGAAUACAAGUGUGAAUGCAGCCCUGGCAGGCUGAAAAAGUAGUCAGUCAAAUGCACUAGAACCACAGUCGCAUGACCCAACGAGUAAAGCAACAGUGAUUAAGGGUGUGGUGUUUACAUAACGUACUUCUCUUGGCGAAUUACGUGUGGAAUUCAAAUCAACGCUCACAGGACUAAACGACGUUAGCAAACAUAACUACCGCACGCUGCCGGCACCCCCGAGUGUACCGAGAACGGGCGACGAACCCCCGGUGUGCCCCGGGACACCCGUUGCAUACGCCCGUCUCGUCCGGGUAGCCGACUCUGGGAUAUACGGGGUGGCCCAAAGGAACGAGCGUUAACUCGAACGGAGAUACCGAAUUCGGGUAAGUUUCCGCGCGAGGUGACGUCACGUGAACUCGAUCGCGAUACCGUAAAAACCCCCGUAAUAUCUGCAGUUUGAGAAUAAUGUACGAUAUCUUCACGGUAAAGUUAUUUUCGCGGGCCGAGGAUGCAUUUAACGUUACGUUACAUUACGUUUACCGUUAUCGUUACUUUCCGCGCAGAUUACCACGUCGCAUUGCCGCGUGAGAGCUACUCGUACCGCGUUACCGCGGUAAGCUUACUCGGGAACUCGUCGAUUGGCACUCUUCGAUGGUCGACUAAAAGAGGGACAAAAAAGAAUAAAAAAAAAGAAAAAUGGAAAAGAAGCUCGCUCCAAUUCCUCGGGUAUCGCUCGAAGCUCGAAAUCUUCCGCGUGCUCCGUCGCGCUAUCGAUCCGAGCUUCGCGCCCCGCACACAGAGACGCAGGGGGAUGUGAGGGUUGCGGGGGGAAGAGGGUGGGAUGGGAGAGAGAGGGAGGAGGGCCUCCCUCCGUGCCGAGGGUCAAAAAGUUCCUCCGCCACAUCCCAGGCUCGCAAUGAAAAUCGUCGCUCCCCGCAGCGGGGGGCGACCAAAAAGUUCCUUGAAGCGGUGAAUGGAGGCGGCAUUCUCGCAUCUCGGAGGAUAUACAACAGGUACAAUAUACGUGGUAUCUUGCUACACAGACAGACUCGAUCGCAAAAAGGUUUCCAAUCGGCCUCGACUCGUGUGCCGACUCGCUCUGAGAUACACUUUGAUUUCCAUGCACUAAGAGAUAUAUUAUUCGUUCCAGAAGUGUGAACAAUAACGAUUACGGUCUCCGAACGAAAGCCAUUCAAAGAUACUUUCCGAGCAAAUGGUGUGAGUGAGUAAUACGGCAAAAAGGAGAUGCAGAGAGAGAUUAGUAUUAUGUAUAUAUAUAUAAUAUGUAUAAUAUAUAAAUGUGAGCUCUCUACUUUCACAUCUCGCAAGGAACUCUCACUACCUACGUGGGGCGCGAUCGAUUGCAAUCAUACGAUUAGGAUACCGAUGCCGAUGCCGAUACCGCGGGAUGCUGUGCGCGACGUAUUCUCUCGCGAUCUUCAUACCGAUUCAUACGACGGACGCGCAACGUUUUCUCGCGAAUCACCCCGUAGAGACCGGACAGCCGACGUAACUACCCCGCGUCUAAAAUCGCUUUCGCCGCGUCGGAGCUAGCUUUUACUUUCGUCGAGAGGUUUUGCGAACCAUUACCAUCAAGACCUUCCUCGUCGCGACGAUAGUUGCUUCAUUCUCGCGGCUAAAACAAAUGGUUUUCUUUUAAUAAUAAUCGCGCCCGCCGGUGGUUCUCAAAUCGCGCGUUUUUCAUGUGAAAAAUUGCCGAUAUCAGGGGAACAAAAUUUGAUUUCGGAAUAUCGGUUAAAGCUCGCUGCCCGUGUAGCAAAAGGAUAUUCUGUGAACUACGAAUAAUACGUUUGCAGAUUGAUCUGAUCUGGAUGUAUUGAUCGAAAUAUAUUUUUGAUAACACUUUUGUUAUUGUAUUAAUUGCUUAAAGCGCAAUUUUUUCUCUAACAAGAUCGACAUAUCGUGUUUAUGACAGUUCUCUUUAUCACGGGCCGUUUAGAAAGUUAACGCGGGGAAUCGCGCGAUAACAAUUCAAUAAAAUUUUAUUGUCAAAGAGAGGUCAUGCGUCGCGUCGCGUGUUCCCACAUGGGGCAGCAGCGAAAAUCCAAAGUGUGAGAACCACCGGACCGCUUCGCACGCGUAUCAAAGAACGUUAAUGCUUGCGUUAUUACGGUGCAAUAAGGGGAACGUUUCGACGCUGAUCGACGUCCGCGAAUGCCUGGGAAGAUACUGCCAAAGAGACGAGAUAAAGAGAGAAAGAAAGAAUCAAGAGGCUAUUUUCCACGUGGUGACGAUCAUUCAACAAUAAUUUAGCGAGCCGAUAAAAGCCCUCCCUCUCCCUGCCGAUAGGCGCACUUUACGAUCGCGAGUAUUCUUCGUCGGGAACGCGAUGGACCGAGUCGGAACGAGUUUCUCCUCUCUUUUCUCAGAUACGACGACAGAUACGACGAGUCGUCGGAUUUCGCCGCCGAGCUCUCUCCUUCCAAAAAAUACAAAGCGCACUUCCGCUUGCGGCCCACUACUAAAACUGCUGGCGGUGCUUGCACGCUCAGCGGUAACUAAUUAAGGCUACGCACUGACGACUAAUUAGUGGAUGCCAGGCUAAACAAUCAGUAAGAAAGGUGAAUCUCAUAUGAAGGCAAGCCAAGGCCACGACAUGAGACGUGCAAAUUAAAAAAGGUAAUAAUAUUAAAAAAGAAGCAAGUAAAAAAUUCUCUCCCAAAACCGCUCCAACCACAACCAAGCACAACCACAGGCAAGAUACGGGCCUUUAUGUCAACGAGACAGUCAUCAACCAGUGAAUGUGGCGCAUUACCGUGAUUAUUAUAUGUAAUAGUAACAAUUUAAAAAAAAGAUAUCUAUACAUAAUGUAUGUAUAUGUAUAUAUAUAUACGUAUGAGGUAUACGAAAGGCGGAUUAAUCGACGACGGGGAGGAGAAUACAAAACGGGAGGGGUGGAAGAGAAAGAAAGAGAGAGAGAGAGAGAGAGUAUGUGUGUGAGAGCGAGAAAGGGCAGAUGGAGCCCGAUUGCGCCGGAAUCGGACCGGCCGAUACGAUUAAACGAUUCUCGUUAGCGUCUCGUCGGACGUGAACGGGAAUCGUGGAGUUAACCGUGGGUUAACGCCGAUCGAUAUCGCGGCACGUAUUAUAUACGGCCCACAAACGGAGAACGGGACUUCAACGAGGAAGGAAUCACGCGUGUGUUGGGGAACUCGUGGGAACUCGCAGAGAGGCGAGGGAUUAAUUCAAGUGGAGGGACGAGUCGACGACGGUGUCCCCGAUUAAUCGAGCUGGCGACGUGAGUGUGGUGUUGGUCAGUAUAAAUACGUAUAUGUAUAGAGAAAGAGAGAGAGAGGGAAAGAGAGAGGACAUGUACGCAAAAAACAAGCGCGCGAUACGAUAUGCCGGGCGGGGGCGGGAUGGAUUAAUUCGAUUAAUCUCUGUGUAUGAGUGUGUGUAUGUACGUGUGUGUCUCGGUACGCGCGAGUGGGCUUUUUAGGGACUUGAGGCGGCCCGGCGGACACGGGCACAGGCGGGACGAGACUGUGAAGCGACCAAAGUGUGUGCCAAGAGGUGGUUAAUGAUCAUUACAUACUGGCAGACUCUCUACUCUUCUCUCACACGCACAUUCUCUCUUCCUCUUUCUCAGGCCAAUCACACGGAAUAUUAUUUUACGUGACGUAGAUAUAUCUCAUGCGUUUUUACCACUGGACAGAUAGAGCCCUAAGAUUAAAAGCUACCACAGGCGACUCUCGGACCUUCUCUCGAAUCAUUCUUUGGAGAUUCUCGGGAAUGCUCGGACUGCGUGCUUCCGAGCAGAUCUCAUGACGCGCCCCUUUCCUUCUGACGUUUGCGUCCCGAAUUUCGAGUCGGAUUUUCACGCGUCAAUCUUCGAGCAUUCGUGACGUCGACGAGACAUCAACGAUUCAAACGAGAGGCGAAACUGAGAGGAAAGAGGCGCGUCCAGGCGGACUCUCAUUAAAUUCGCGCGGACGCAGAAUACUGCGUGCGUGAUUCGCAAUUCUUGCGCAUUCCGUGCCUAUGCCAUGUAUCAUCGCCGUUGUUAUUUGUUACUCGCUCGUUUUCCGCUCGUUUUAAUGUUCUUUUUUCUUUUGGUUUUUUUUCUUUGGUAGGAAGGGGGCCGUACCUUUCGGAAACCCUCGCAUUCGUGGCUUCUUAUUCGAUUAUCGCUCAUGUCCUUCUCUUCGGAUAGCGGCGCUCUUCCGUAAGGAUCUUCCUCCUCUUUGACCCUUUGUAUUGCGAUAGAAACAGCUCUGUUCGGCCGCUUCGUCUUCCUGAUGUCCCGUCAUCGUUCCUGCCGUUCAUCCUUUUAUGCCGUUCAAGUGUCACAGGGCGUUUCAAUCGUAGAGGCGUUCGUUGUAGCUCCGCAUAUUCGCGAGCAGAUGAAUUCCAGAUUUUAAUUGAGUCAGAUCAAGUUGCAUCGUUUUCAGAACACAUGUAUUCGAUAUUUUAUCGAGAUAGAAUUUCCUUUUACAAAAAAAAGAAAUAAAGUGUCGAAGUCGAUGAAGGCUUCCAUAUAUUUCCAGUAUUUUCGCUUCUUCGAGCGAAAAGCCCUGAGUGACGUUAUUUGCACUCUUCACGCUCCGUGGACCGCCGUGACAAAUUAAAAUAACGCAGAGUGACGACAAGUGGCGAAAGAACAGGAAAACAGGGAACGAAAGAGAAAAAUGACAGCACAGUCGAUGUCUGCGGCGGUCGCAAUGACUGAUGAAAGUGAUAAAAGUGAUGAAAUACACGUGGCAUGCAGAUAUUACAAUCGAAAAUUGCAAAACGAUUGACUCGAGGACAAUUCUUGCAUCGCGCGACGAAUAAAUAAAGAAUGAAUCUCUGUGCUCGAUUGCUCGACAUGUUCACGGCACGAUUAAUUGUUACAAAGUGGCACGAUAAAUAAGAUAAAAAAAAGCUUAGACAUGCAUCACCAGAACCGUCGUCGUCGAUAAAUAACAAAUCCCCGAGAGUCGCUCUUGGUCAAUAAAAAAAGAAUGUAGUUCGCGGUGCUUUCAGCGUCGAAGUAUCGAUACUCAGCGGUACUCGUUAGAAAGAGAAAAUAACUUUUAAUGAUCGGCGAGUCGGCGGAAUUCUCACGAUUUCAAAUCGCGACUUGAUUACGCUCGAUCCAAGUGUCAAAUUAUUACGAUCUUCCAGCUCGCGUACGUCACAGAGACAACGAGAUCCUCUGCGCUGAGGAAGAGCGGAAGAUUCUUUCUUUCUCGGUAGCAAUAUCAAUUUUCCUCGCACGUUUUCCGGACGCGACCGCGACGGUGCGACUCAAGUGAAAGAAUUCUGACACAGCGUAAAAUUGGAGAAAAGAACGAACCGGCGGAAAGCAACUCCGGUAAAGAGAUAGAGAGCAAGAGAGGCGGGGGUGUGCAAGAAAGCGGCACGAAGUGGAAUGAAAAUUGUCAGGAGACGCGGAACGCUUCGGGAACUGCGGGCGGAGUGCAAGAGUGGAAAAGGUAAAGGGAGGAUGGAGGAGGGAGGCACAGCCACCCAGAAAGAGCGGAAGGACCAGAGCUUCCGGCUUUUCUUCGGACACUCGCAGGGACUCGCUCUUUCCCAUGUCUCUUUUCCGUUAUCUCUCCCAUUCUGUCGCUAAAUCGACGGUUGCUCACUCGCGAUGGCGAAUUUCAACGUCGAUUCGACAAUUUCGAGAGAGUUGACGACGACACACGGAGAAGAAUUCCGCCUUUACGCGCGCGAGCACUGCAUUCCGCUCGGCGAGGACAGAGAGAACGAGAACAGAUUCCGAUAUUUUCGCGAGCUUCAUUUCGAGAGACUCUCGCAGGCAGCGCAGAGGAGACAGACAGUGCACCGAGCGACGACGUUCCGACGAAUAAAUGGAGAACAGACAGCGCGCGUGGAUGAGAAAUAUCUCGACUAUUCGCAACGGAAAGUUCAGAUGCGGAGGCGAGACUCCGCUUCCGCGAGACGAUUAGGAAGCGUGCGGAAUGAACGCGUCCACGGAGCGAUCGCAUAGUUAAGCGGAAAGAGAGAAACGGAGAGCGAGGCAGGCGGAUCGCACUUUCCUCCUGUCUAUUCUCCGAGGCAUUUCAGUUUCCCGAGCAAUUCGUUCAUCCACCUGAUACCGCACGAUCAAAUAAUGAGACUGCUUAAUGAGUCUCGCGUGAUUUUAUCGGCGUAAGAAAACGCGUAUCUGCACGUGCGAUGCUUCUACGUGAAUGCGAAACGUGCCUCGUAUCUGCCCGCUCCCCGUUCGCGUCUAUUCUAUGAACGUUCAUCUCCGGCGAGUGAGAUAGAUACAUGCAUGAUCGUGCAAUCGUGAGAAUCGGUUUUCGAUAUACUCGUCGACGUUGUACGGAAAGUAAAAACUCCUCUUUAUUGACUGAGAUGUGACAAAUCGGUUCGCCUGUGCGUCGUGCAGAUUUGUUUCGGCGAACAGAGAGUGACAAGAACAAGUUGCCCUGGUAUCGAUUAACGAUUUGCUUCGUCGCUGCUGCGUUUUGCCCUCGAUGACGCUUCGCUUUGCGGUCACAUUAACAUUCAGCCGCGUACUUUGCAAUCCAGAUAGCUUCAGUUGCAUAAACGGAUGUACAAAAUUAAUGCUUACAAAACAUGUGUACAUGGAAUUAAUUAUGCAAAGUAAAAGGCAGAUUCUUCUCAAUUACCGUAUCAAUAAAAUAUUUAGGAGAUACGAAUACGUCAACUUCAAUACGAAAGCGUCAUCGAGAUUUGGCGGAAAACCAGCCUUCCAUCGAUCUCAUCUGCGAUAAUUUCCGCUACUUGUCUUCGUUCUUUUUUUUUCCGUUUGCAUGUGUCACAGAAUUAUCCACCUUUUUCCACUGUCUGUCACUUUCCUCCGUCCAUUCUUAAAUUCUAAUCUUCAUUUACAUGCGUCCGAUCCUUUUAAUCCGAACACUUAAUUGUCCACAUAAAAAACACUCAUGUGACGAUAAACUAAGUAGUCUAGUCGCUAUGUCCUACAGCCUAUCAAUCUGUCCGCGUAGAUCUAUCUACCUUCUACAUUCGUAAAGUGGGGUAUUAUGGCACACACGACUGAGACCUGAGACCGACCGGAUCGGUAAAUGUGAAAUAAAUCAAGCGGUCGUUUAUCCGCGGCAAUUCCGCGGCGAAUUACCCCAAUUUACUCGUCAGGCGAACGAAUCGAUGUCACGAAUCUUUGGAAUGUCGGUGUAAUCCUGCAAUGGAGUACGGGAGUAGUCAUGCAGUUACGUAAUACUGUUCUGUGUUCCCGUCGGUCCUGCAAUUGGUUUGCGUUUUCCACGCCGAGAUCAGCGAUGCGCGAGUAUCAAAAUUGUGAGAGUACAAAAAUAGACGGCCAGCGCGGGGCGUCGCGACGCCGCGCGUCGCGGAUUUUGCAGGACCACGUGAACUAAACUCUACGUUCGUUCCGUUUUAAAAAAGCGGCAUGUGAGGUGCAGCCUUGUCCUUCCGUCCUAUGUAAAUCUACGUAUACACGCUAAAUUACACGAAAUAUAAUCUAAGGUAACGCUCACAUAAUCACUAAGAUCAAUACCCUGUAUUGGUUUGGCACGAUAACCCACUUAUGUUCUAAUAGUGUUGCGCUAUAAUUACCAACGAUGCACGUAUCAUCGUCAUACCUCGCGAAAUAUAACAAGCGAGCGAGAUAAGCGGUGCCGAAAUCGGAGCUUGCCAUAUUUCAGUCUCGACCAAAAAUUCGUGAAUUAGUGAAGGAAAACAUGAAAUAAUUAUUUAUCGCUAACACAUUCGGUACCCUGUGUGGUCGUUUCGUUAAAUCUAAAAAUCUACAAACUAUAUUCCGACCUCAUCCAAUAAUUCAUUCGCCGUUUAAUUUCACGAAAUGUUUGUGCAAAAAAAAGAUCAUAAACUAUCAAUAUGCUCGUUAAACAAAAAGGGGCGACGAGAGAAAAAAAGCGGAAAAAAACAUUUCGCGAUGCGCUACGUUGUGACAUUUUUCGAGGGCUAAAACAGUCAUACAUUUAAAUAGUGAAACUUCUGUUUUUGAAUCGGUAAAUAUAUAAUCAAAGCGAGAAACGUGAGUUCGAUGUGAAAAAUUUCAGUACAUAUUUCGGUUCUACAAAAAAAGGGAGAAAAAAAGAGGAAAAAUAUUUUUUACGGAAUUCGUAUUUUUGGUUUUCAUGCUCUGUGGAAGCGUUUCGAUUCCGCGAUGCAAGAUGCGAUGGUAAAAACAUGAAAGGUACGCAAGCCGAUUGUGUUUUCGCGAUAAGUCGAAUUGCAUUCGAAGCGAUGUUCCGAUUUUUUUCUCUGGUCGCGUUCGCUCUAAUUAUUUCGAUUCCUGGAUUAAUCGUCUCGAUAAUCGGAAGCUCACGUGCUUUUGCGGCAUGCCGCUGGAGACCGAAAGUCGCAGUUCACGCGGCCGAUUUUAGCCGGCCGAUUAACUGCUUCCGCUCCGGGCGGCGUUUUACAAUGCGGAGAACAAUGCGCGUUACGGGACAGUGUCAGAAUUAAUGCGACUCGACGCAAACUGUCAGCGACGUCGCGUUUAAUCAUCGAUAACUCGUAACUUCCUGAUAAAAAAUCAAUCAUUUUAAAAAAUAGAAAUAACCGUAUUUCCUUUUAAUGCUUCGCCAUAUAAUCUUUAUGACUCUUAAAAAAGUUGAGCUUCUUCCAUUACGGUAAGUUGUAACGUCGGCUGCUCCGUUCGACGCACUUUUCUCCGCACGAGCGCUAAAAGCCGCCGUUUAUCCCCCGCAGUUUUUCACCGCGAGAAGCGGAAACCGGGUCGACGAUGAUAACAGAAAGGGACUUCGUUUCGGCUCGAGGGGAGAAAAUAGAAGAAAAAUUGGUUUGUACGAGAGAAACACAGAGGGGCUGAGAUGAGCGCGAACGUUUCUCCCUCGGGUAACGAUGAAAAAGGUCGAGAAGAGAUAGAAGAAAAAAAUAAAUAAAUAAAAAAAGAGAAAAAAAUACAAGAAAGAGGUAAGACGCGAAAAGAAACGGGAGGAAACUAAGUAAGAUGUAUACGUAUGAUAUGAAUGUGUACGUGACAGGAGAAGACAGUCUUGAAUCCCGAGCUGGCUGAACGACGAGCAAUUAGUUGUAGGUAAAUAAAAAUAUUCUGGACCACCCACCUUGCUCCUGCUGGGAUCAUCGCGUACCCUACAAAGAAGGGACGCGAGAGAUCCUGGUUUUCGAGCGGCCCCGGCCGAGAAUUCGGCCGCGCGCCCUUUUAGGAUCAUUCUUAGGCGUCGGCGUCGUGCGCGCGGCAGGAUCCGCCGUCAUCCGACGACCGGAAACCGGUCGUCGCGCGCGCACCACGCGCUUGGGCUACGUGUCUACAUUUCCCCGCGGAGAACGCGACCGGAAUGAACGGAGGCGACGAGGAAAUUCAAUGAUUCUCUGCAGUCCUGAUUCCCUCGGGAGAAUUCCUGCGCGCGGUGCAGCAAUUAACCACCCGUUUAAUCCGGAAUUAAUCCGAAACGAACGCGACUUCGGGCUUCGAGCGUGCGGCGAAGCAUUACUUAUUUGUCCGACGGGCUCGAUCGAUCGGGUACAGAUUUUACCGAGGGUGUCCGUCGGCGUCCGGCAGCCCGACGCAAUCUCGCCGAUCACAAUCGUUCCAGUUCUGUGCUGGUUUUCGCGAAACGAAAAACCGAUUAUGGAUCGAGGAUCUUGAUUGAUUUUCGCGCUGUCAAUCCGCGAGGAAUCAUUGCUAUCGUCGACUCCGUCCAUUCGACGGCGCGUCUUUACCGAAAUCGCGCGAUGGGACUAUGCACCUCUAGAUCGGAAUGUACCGUAAUGCACGCACGUGAAAACGCGAGAAAAAACAAGGACCUUCGUCCUUUCUCAGUGUAUGUGCGUCUAGGUGUGUGCAUGUAUGUGUGUGUGUGUUAUGUAUGUAUGUAUGUAUGUGCGUGUGUACGUGUGCAUGUACAUGUGUGACUAUAAUACGUGGCUGUACGUUCUUUCGUUUUUCUUUCUUUUCUUUUGGCUUGGUCGUGGUGUGUGGCGGCUGUUGGAAAGACUUUGAAAUAAAUACGUUAUCUCUCGAGAGUGUCUCGCGCGGGAGAUACUGAGGUGUACUGAAGAAUCCGCGCGCUCUCACAAAAUACGCGGGAGCGCGGGGGCCCCGCGUUCAUUGCCGUCAUUGUCGUUGCCUGACC